UGGGGAAUUUUGGACAAUGGGGGAAACCCUGAUCCAGCCAUCCCGCGUGUGCGAUGAAGGCCUUCGGGUUGUAAAGCACUUUUGGCAGGAAAGAAACGUCGCGGGUUAAUACCCCGCGAAACUGACGGUACCUGCAGAAUAAGCACCGGCUAACUACGUGCCAGCAGCCGCGGUAAUACGUAGGGUGCAAGCGUUAAUCGGAAUUAUUGGGCGUAAAGCGUGCGCAGGCGGUUCGGAAAGAAAGAUGUGAAAUCCCAGAGCUUAACUUUGGAACUGCAUUUUUAACUACCGGGCUAGAGUGUGUCAGAGGGAGGUGGAAUUCCGCGUGUAGCAGUGAAAUGCGUAGAUAUGCGGAGGAACACCGAUGGCGAAGGCAGCCUCCUGGGAUAACACUGACGCUCAUGCACGAAAGCGUGGGGAGCAAACAGGAUUAGAUACCCUGGUAGUCCACGCCCUAAACGAUGUCAACUAGCUGUUGGGGCCUUCGGGCCUUGGUAGCGCAGCUAACGCGUGAAGUUGACCGCCUGGGGAGUACGGUCGCAAGAUUAAAACUCAAAGGAAUU
rnacentral:rRNA from 1 species